rnacentral:tRNA from 1 species
GCCGGGGUGGCGAAAUCGGUAAACGCGGCGGACUUAAAAUCCGCUGUUCCGAAAGGGACUUGUGGGUUCGAUCCCCACCCCCGGCACCA